rnacentral:rRNA from 1 species
AUUGAACGCUGGCGGCAUGCUUUACACAUGCAAGUCGAACGGUAACAGGCCGCAAGUUGCUGACGAGUGGCGAACGGGUGCGUAAUGCAUCGGAACGUGCCCAGUCGUGGGGGAUAACUACUCGAAAGAGUAGCUAAUACCGCAUACGAUCUAUGGAUGAAAGCGGGGGACCUUAAGGCCUCGCGCGAUUGGAGCGGCCGAUGUCAGAUUAGGUAGUUGGUGGGGUAAAGGCUCACCAAGCCAACGAUCCGUAGCCGGUCUGAGAGGACGACCAGCCACACUGGGACUGAGACACGGCCCAGACUCCUACGGGAGGCAGCAGUGGGGAAUUUUGGACAAUGGGCGCAAGCCUGAUCCAGCAAUGCCGCGUGAAGGAAGAAGGCCUUCGGGUUGUAAAAUGCUUUUGUACGGAAAGAAACGGCUCUGGUUAAUACCCGGGGCUAAUGACGGUACCGUAAGAAUAAGCACCGGCUAACUACGUG